AUUAGAUAAAAAGCCAAUGCCCUUCGGGGCUUUCUGGUGAUUCAUAAUAACUAAACGAAUCGCAUGGCCUUUUGUGCCGGCGAUGGUUCAUUCAAAUUUCUGCCCUAUCAACUUUCGAUUGUAGGAUAGAGGCCUACAAUGGUUUCAACGGGUAACGGAGAAUUAGGGUUCGAUUCCGGAGAGGGAGCCUGAGAAACGGCCACCACAUCCAAGGAAGGCAGCAGGCGCGCAAAUUACCCAAUCCCGACACGGGGAGGAAGUGACAAUAAAUACUGAUACAGGGCUCUUUUGGGUCUUGUAAUUGGAAUGAGUACAAUUUAAAUCCCUUAACGAGGAACAAUUGGAGGGCAAGUCUGGUGCCAGCAGCCGCGGUAAUUCCAGCUCCAAUAGCGUAUAUUAAAGUUGUUGCAGUUAAAAAGCUCGUAGUUGAACCUUGGGUCUGGCUGGUCGGUCCGCCUCACCGCGUGUACUGGUCCGGCCGGACCUUUCCUCUUGGGGAUCCACAUGCCCUUUACUGGG
rnacentral:rRNA from 1 species